rnacentral:rRNA from 2 species
GUAGGGAAUCUUCCACAAUGGGCGAAAGCCUGAUGGAGCAACGCCGCGUGGGUGAAGAAGGUCUUCGGAUCGUAAAACCCUGUUGUUAGAGAAGAAAGUGCGUGAGAGUAACUGUUCACGUUUCGACGGUAUCUAACCAGAAAGCCACGGCUAACUACGUGCCAGCAGCCGCGGUAAUACGUAGGUGGCAAGCGUUAUCCGGAUUUAUUGGGCGUAAAGGGAACGCAGGCGGUCUUUUAAGUCUGAUGUGAAAGCCUUCGGCUUAACCGGAGUAGUGCAUUGGAAACUGGGAGACUUGAGUGCAGAAGAGGAGAGUGGAACUCCAUGUGUAGCGGUGAAAUGCGUAGAUAUAUGGAAGAACACCAGUGGCGAAAGCGGCUCUCUGGUCUGUAACUGACGCUGAGGUUCGAAAGCGUGGGUAGCAAACAGG